rnacentral:rRNA from 1 species
CCUACGGGUGGCAGCAGUGAGGGAUAUUGGUCAAUGGGGGAAACCCUGAACCAGCAACGCCGCGUGAGGGAAGACGGUUUUCGGAUUGUAAACCUCUGUCCUCUGUGAAGAUGAUGACGGUAGCAGAGGAGGAAGCUCCGGCUAACUACGUGCCAGCAGCCGCGGUAAUACGUAGGGAGCAAGCGUUGUCCGGAUUUACUGGGUGUAAAGGGUGCGUAGGCGGCUUUGCAAGUCAGAAGUGAAAUCCAUGGGCUCAACGUGGGAACUGCCUUUGAAACUGGCAAACUGGAGUGUGGGAGAGGGAAGUGGAAUUCCAGGUGUAGGGGUGAAAUGCGUAGAGAUCUGGAGGAACAUCAGUGGCGAAGGCGACUAUCUGGCACAUAACUGACGCUGAGGAGCGAAAGCGUGGGUAGCAAACAGGAUUAGAUACCCCUGUAGUC